GUUGGUUAAGGCGUGGUGCUAAUAACGCCAAGAUCAGCAGUUCGAUCCUGCUAGGGACCA
rnacentral:tRNA from 1 species